GACGAACGCUGGCGGCGUGCCUAAUACAUGCAAGUGGAACGCUGAAGGAGGAGCUUGCUCUUCUGGAUGAGUUGCGAACGGGUGAGUAACGCGUAGGUAACCUGCCUGGUAGCGGGGGAUAACUAUUGGAAACGAUAGCUAAUACCGCAUAACAGUAGAUGUUGCAUGACAUUUACUUAAAAGGUGCAAUUGCAUCACUACCAGAUGGACCUGCGUUGUAUUAGCUAGUUGGUGGGGUAACGGCUCACCAAGGCGACGAUACAUAGCCGACCUGAGAGGGGGAUCGGCCAAACUGGGACUGGGAAACGGCCCAGACUCCUACGGGAGGCAGCAGUAGGGAAUCUUCGGCAAUGGACGGAAGUCUGACCGAGCAACGCCGCGUGAGUGAAGAAGGUUGUCGGAUCGUAAAGCUCUGUUGUAAGAGAAGAACGAGUGUGAGAGUGGAAAGUUCACACUGUGACGGUAUCUGACCAGAAAGGGACGGCUAACUACGUG
rnacentral:rRNA from 1 species